AGUGUUUAUGCAUUUAAAGUUUUGAGUUUUAAGGAAUAGAUAGAGAUCUUU
rnacentral:tRNA from 1 species